UCACUGGCACCUGAGACACCUUCAGUCUUUCUUAGGUCUCUGGAUGGUGCUACCUGAUCCCAAUGCCCAGUCUCAAAUCCCUCAGUGUACCCUUCACCACUCCUUGUUAGGCCUUGACUCAGGGGAAUUUCCUUUUCCCUAUUCUCUCUCCCUCUCACUCAGAUCACCACCCUGUUCAGACCUGUACAGUCAUUUUUCUGGGCUGCUACAGAGGUCUCCUGACCUAUCCUGAUGCCCCAGCACUACAUCCUGAUAUUCUUUUAUUUUUUUAAUGUUUAUUUUUUAGUUGUAGUUGGACACAAUACCUUUAUUUUUUAUGUGGUGUUGAGGAUCGAACUCAGAGCCCUGCAUAGGCUAGGCGAGCAUUCUACUGCUGAGCCACAACUGCAGCCCCCAUCCUGAUAUUCUAAAGCAUAGAUUUCACCAUGUCUCAUCCAUUUUCAAAAGUUUUCGAUAACUGUUUCCUGAUACCUGAGGCUGGAUAGUUUAUAAAGAAAAAUUAGUUAAGAACUCUUCAGCAUGGUAUCUGUGACCUUUCUUAAUCUUGCUUCAACCGGCUUUUCUACUUUAUUCUCACUGGCCCCACAAAUGUAUAUAUUUUUAUUUAAAAUUUUUUUUGUAGUUGUAGGUGGACAGAAUGACUUUAUUUUAUUUGUUUAUUUUUAUGUGGUGUUUAUUUUUAUUUGUUUAUUUUUAUGCUAGGCCAGUGCUCUGCCACUAAGCUACAGCCCCAGCCGCCACGUUUUGUAUUUUGUGGCACUCCUCUGUCUCGGAAUUUGUUGUGCUGUCACGUUCCCCAGCCUCUGCAUAUAUGGUCCCCUUUACCUGGAAUGCCCUCUCCUCUCUACCCAUUGGAAGCCUAUUCAGUCUUCAACAUCUCUGGGAACUUUUAAUAACUAGCAACACAUUUUGCCAAUUAAACUUGGCCUAGACCUCUGGCAAUGCAUUAUCUAUCCAUAGUUAGUAUGAUAUGGUCUCCUUCACAAUGACAACCUCUUUAGGCUUCUUAUUGUAUGCAACUGUAGUAAUGAUAGAAAUGGAAGAACUUCCAUGAUACAACCUUCAUUCUGUGAAACCCAUGACUACUUCAUUCUCAUUGACCAGUGAGUCUGAGUUAAUGGGGUUCCCUUGUAUUAUAAUCUGUUUCCAUUGCCAUAAUGAGAUACCUGAAGCUGGAUAGUUUAUUUAAAGAAAGGUUUACCCCUUAUAUUUACAUAUCGAUAGAAGAAAUUUUAAAAAGAUUUAUUUAGCUCAGCAUUUUGGAGGCUGAAAGAUCAGGUAUCCCAUUAAUUUGACCUCUGGUGAGGGCCUAAUGGCAGAUGGAAUCAUGGUGGGAGCAUAUGCAAGAGGGAGAGAUCACAUGGUAAGUCAGGAAGCCAGAGAAGGAUUCAAGGCCUGCUCUUCUGUAAUAACCAACCCACUGUUGUGAGAACUAACUCAGGAUCUCAUGAGUUAAUUGACCUAAUCCCUUCUAAGGGCAAUGCCCCCCAGUGACCUAUCCAACUUCCACUAAGUCCCACCUCUUAAAGGUCCAACGACCUCUUAGUAUGGCCACACUGGGCACCAAGCUUCCCACACAUGAAUUCUUGGGGGACACACUCAGACCAUUCCCAAUCAUAGUCUUCUUCAAGUCUCCCCACUUGUUUCUGGGAUAUGCAUUUUGUUCCCGGCUCAACAGAACUUACUUGGUCAUCACAUACCUAUCUGCUUCCUGUUGCACUCUAAGUGGGAACUAAUACCAAAGUCCAGUCCUUCAGCCUCGUGUCCUUUUCCCCCAGUAACCCUAAAAUGAGAGGUAGAAACAUCAAUGACUAUCUCUCUGGGAAUGACAAUCUCUAUGGUGAAUAAUUGCCUCCUUUUGAGUUUGGUUCUCAGCUCCCAUUAUUCCCUAUGCUUAGGACACCUCCCACUCAUUCCACUUGCUCACCUCCAAGUCUCCACCAUCAAUGGUAGCACUACCCUCCGAGUCUCAUGCUCCUCAUCUUCUCUGACUUAUUUCCAUCCAUCUCAGAUGGUGAGUGCAUCACCCAGGCCUGGGUGACCUUUGGAAAUUCUCUUAUAUCAGCCUUUCCCUUGGCAUCCUCCUCAUGUCGGACCAGAUGUUCAUCCUUUCGGCACUGCAAAUGAUAGUGAACAUGAAGGGAGCCUGAUGCCAGGCAGCUUGCUGAGCACUUUGCACGUGUUCUGGUCUUGUCACUUGACUAAAACCAGUAUGUUAGUUUUCAUUAUAUUCUCUUGUCUGCACAUGGGAUUGGAGAGUAAGUAAUUUACCCAAGUUCACUCUGGCAGGUUCAAAGCCCUCUCUAUGCCUCCAGACUGUGGUUUUAAACACUACAAUUAUUCAGGAAGGUGCUCUGAACUUAAGGCCAGAUGUGGAUGUAAGUCUUGGCUUCAUUACUUAUUAGGUGUGCAAUUUUGGGCAAUUCGCUGAGCUUUGCUUUUUUCCUGUGGUUUGCUCUGAAGGUGAUAUGUUAGAAUGAAAGUGAAAGUGC
rnacentral:lncRNA from 1 species